rnacentral:rRNA from 1 species
AACGAACGCUGGCGGCAUGCCUAACACAUGCAAGUCGAACGAGACCUUCGGGUCUAGUGGCGCACGGGUGCGUAACACGUGGGAAUCUGCCCUUCGGUUCGGAAUAACAGUUAGAAAUGACUGCUAAUACCGGAUAAUGACGUAAGUCCAAAGAUUUAUCGCCGAAGGAUGAGCCCGCGUAGGAUUAGGUAGUUGGUGGGGUAAUGGCCUACCAAGCCGACGAUCCUUAGCUGGUCUGAGAGGAUGAUCAGCCACACUGGGUCUGAGACACGGCCCAGACUCCUACGGGAGGCAGCAGUGGGGAAUAUUGGACAAUGGGCGAAAGCCUGAUCCAGCAAUGCCGCGGGAGUGAUGAAGGCCUUAGGGUUGUAAAGCUCUUUUACCCGGGAUAAUAAUGACAGUACCGGGAGAAUAAGCUCCGGCUAACUCCGUGCCAGCAGCCGCCGUAAAAC